AUGAAACAUGAAAAUGGAUUCAGUAGCAUGAUCAAAAUUUGGAGUAUGGAGAAUUUAUCCCAUGGUGAAGUAGUUUCUAAUAAAAGGUAUUUGGAAUGGAAUAAGAGCAGAAAGUUGUAUAAUCUUGUAGAAAAAGAGUUAUAUAAUCUUGUAGAAUUUCUCAUUCUGUGGUACAACCCAGAGGUAAACUAUUAUUCCAGUAGUAAGUAUACUUUUCUAGAUACUCUUGAGUGAAAACCAGCAAAUUCUUUUUCCCUGUGGUCUGAUUUAUUUUUCUAGUUCUAAUCCAUGAAGGCCAUUGUCAUUAAUGCAAGAAUAAAGACAAUUCCUCCUGUCAGUUACAUGAAACUUUUUUUAAAAUAAACAUCCCCCCCAGUGAAGAGUUCUACCUUAGCAAGUCCUAAUAUUAGCUUUAGCUUUAGAAAAUAACAGUUUGUGAACUUAGUUCCCUAUAUUUUCAGCUGUAUCUCACACUAUGAUUUAAAAUAAAGUUAUAGAGAGUAGACUUGAGAAAUAACAUUUUAAAAUCCAUUUUAUACUGACUACUUUUUAUUGCCUUACUUUAGUCUCCAUAUGUUCAUUACAUACAUAAUCUUAUUUAAUCUUCACACCAAGACUAUAUUCUUAUGAAUAUAAGCUAAAAAAUUAAGUAAAAUACUCAAGGAUAUUAACAAAAGCAAACAUGAAAGUAGAAGAAUUAUCUGUUAUUUAUUUUGUUUCCAGGAACCUAGCACAGUGUCCAGCAUAUGGUAGAUAUCCCUAGUGUUUGAAUAAAUGAAACCAGCAUUAGAACUUUAUAUACUUUCUCUUAUUUUGAAUAAUAUUAAGGACUUGUAAAGAUUAGGAAUCCAUGCACUGGGAGAGGAAAAAGUGAGAGGAAGACUAUAAAUAGGAAAAUAUUUGAUAACUACAGAAUAUAAAAAUAUUUAUUUUGUGUUUUUUUCCCUUUGUCCUGUCAGAUGAGGGCACACUAUUGAGAUCUCCCACUGUAACAUUGUUUCAGGAAAUUUUAUUUAUUUUCAUUUUAUGUAUUUUGAGCAAUUUUAUGAUAUGCAAACAAAUACAGAAUUGUUAUGUCAUCCAAAUGAAUUGAAUCUUUUAUUUGUAGUGACUGCCUUUCUGCUUUAAAGUCUAUUUUUGUCUAUUGUCAUUGUCAUGUAUUAACACUAUAUGAUUGGACUUUGACCUGCUAUUCUAUUUUGUGCUUUCCACUUCUUUUGAUUUCUCUAUGUUUCAUUUCUCUCUCAGUUGUUUGAUUGACUAAAUAUUUGUUUGCCUUCUUAUUUCAUAAUAUUUUCCCCUCUACUGUUAGGAUGUCAUAUUCUAUACCUAUGCUUUUACUCUCAAAACUUAUAUUUAACUUAAAAAUAUCUAAAAUUAGUAUCUUAAACUUAGGAAGGGUCCACAGUAUCAUAAAGAAGGAGGUUUAACCGUGAUCUCUUAUCUCCAGACUCAAGGAUUAUCCAGUGUUUUAGUUUAACAAUUUUGUUUCCUGUGAUUGUAGCUCAAAUUCCCUUGGAGAAGGUCUCUUGGUGGUAAACUUUACUCAAUUUUUAUUUACAAAGACUGUUCUUCGUUGAUGUUGCUGGAAGGUAGUUUUGCUGUGCUCCUGAUUUCAGGUUAACGUGUUAAAGAUACUCACUCUUUACUGGUUUCCAUUGUUUGUCUACUUGUGUUUCUUUUGUAAGUGAUUUCUUUCUGGUUUCUUUUAAGGUGGUCUCUGUUUUAGUACCUAUAGUGAGUUCAGAAUAUCUACUUGUAAAUUUCUGAAUUUCUUGCAUGUUUUAUGUUGUGUUUCAUUUAUGUGUGGAUAUGUGUUUUUCUUCAUUCUGAAAAAUUUCCAGUCAAUUUCCCCCAAUAUAUUCUUUGCUCUACUUUUUCUAAUCAUUUCUGUCACUUUGAUCAGGGCUAUAUUAGAUCUUCUUACACUCCUCAUGUAAUCUCUCUGUCCCAGUUUCUAUCUCCAUAUUACUCUAUUUUGCUUUAGAAACUGCUGUUAUAUCCCAAGAUUAAUUUCCCCAUCUUCAUUUUAGCCUACUACCAGGUUUUAGCUGAAAACGGCCACUCGGAUAGAGAGUACAUUUUCUAAUUUCUCCUACAGUUACACAAGGCCAUGAUGCUACAUUUUCACUAUUUUAUAAGCAGAAGUGAUAUGUACAACUUAUUCCCUAGAAAUCCGAAAUAAUUUGCCCUUAAUGCUCUGCUUUUCCCUUUUAAUGGGCUAAAAUGUUAACUUGCUGCUAGUGUGCUGCUACCUUAAAUCAUAUGGCUGAGAAUGACUGGGACAAUUGCUGUAGACCCAAAGAGGAAUGGCAACACAGAGCCCACCUGCCUAGCUUGUCCUGUUAAUAUAGGAGAGGAACACACCUUUCUUUUAUGAACACUGCUUGGGGUGUCUUCUUAUGGCCUCAACAUUGCCUAUAACCCUAAAUAGUAUUGGUAUAGUCUUGGUAAUUCUGUCUGAUCUGAUGUUUUAGCCAUCAGUUGAGAUUUAAAUUUCAGUGAUUUUUUUUUAGAAAGUUUCAUUUGGCUUUUUUUCUCCUAAGUCUGCCUGUUAACUUUUUUAAUAAUCUCAUGGCAUGCUUUUUGUGAUUCUUAUUUUCAUUUUUUAUCAUUAUUAUUUUAUCGCCUGUUAAUCAUUUCAAAACCUGAAUUAUUUGGUAAUCUAAACCUAUUCUGUUGAUUCUCACUCAUGACAGUCUGUUUCUUUACAUGUUUUGUAAUUUCUUUUUGUGAGUUCACAUGUGUUUGGUCAGAGUCUAAGUAAAUCUAGGAGUGUAAAUAGAGUAUUCAUUGCCCAAUGAGGGCAUUUUAAAAUGUUUCUGCUGGAGAAAUAGAGAAUCCCCCAACCUAGGACUACUUCGGCUUAGUGUAAGAGUUUUGGCUUGAGUUUUCCUACCUUACAGCUUACUCAAAGCAUACUUUCCAAAUCUUAUUUGCUUGCUACCCAGAUUUCCCUGUUUUGGAGAAACAGAAGAAGUGGCUUGGAAAUGUCCUUUAUUUUCUGAAAUAUCAACCAAACAUUCAAAGAAUGUUAUAUUGAGAAUCUAUUUGUUUUGUAGCAGUUGGGGCCUGUGGAAUAUCUAGUUACUGAUUUGCUAAAAGUGGAAGCCCUCAUUUUCCCUUUAGGCCACACCAAAUUAAUUUCUGCCAUCAAUUAUGUCUUGUGAAUAUAUGUCUUGAAAUAUGUCUUGUGAAGCUUCCCAAUCACAUGCAUGAUGCUAAAUUCAAAGGACACUGUAUUAGCCUGUUUUCACAGUGCUACAUAAAACUCCCCAAGACUGAGUAAUUUAUAAAGAAAAGAGGUUUAAUUGUCUCACAGUUCCACAUGGCUCAGGAGGCCUCAGGAAACUUACAAUCAUGGCAGAAGGUGAAGGAGAAGCAAGUACCUUUUUAACAAAGCUGUAGCAGGGAGAGAGAGGGAGAGGUGGGGAGAGAGAGAGGAGAGAGAAAGAGAGAGAGUGAAGGAGAAGGAGGAAGUGUCACACUUUUAAACUAUCAGAUCUAAUGAGAAAUCACUAUCACAAGAAGAGCAUGGGGAAAUGGGGAAAACUACCCCCAUGAUCUGAUCACCUCCCAUCAGGUCCCUCCCUCAACACAUGAGGAUAUGGGGAUUACAAUUCAAGAAGAGGUUUAGGUGGGGACACAAAGCCAAACCAUAUGAGACACUUUUCUGGCAUUUGACUUCUCAGCAGCAUUAAAUACCAUUGCCCAUAACUCUUUCUUGAAACUCUGC
ensembl:lncRNA